rnacentral:lncRNA from 1 species
UUCCGGUUGAAUUUCCCUUUAGGGAUCAAUAAAGUUCUUAUCUUAAUAUUGAGUUGAUGGAUGGAGAGUUAGCUGCCUUGAAGUUGGUGAACCUGCUCCUGGUCUGUCUCUGUCUCACUGGCUGCUACUGAACUUCACUUUCUACUGUGCCUAAUUUACUUUUGAUAACAAGCUGUUAAUUUGGAUAUUGGUGAUGUGCUAACACCACAGCAAAGAUACUUUAUCUGAGGUAUAUAUACUUUAAUACAGUAUGUAUUAUGUGUGACAUUUUCAGCUGCAGCUAACAGCCAGGUGAUCUGUUGUAGCUGUUUAGUUUUCAAUUAGCCCAACUACUGUAAUAAUGUUAGUUUUCUUUAUAGGCCUAUUGUUUUUAAUGUACUAUCUGUCAGGCAACACUAAUGUAGUGUUUCUUGUCUCAAACAAACAGAAGAUACAUCCUUCCCAGUGCAUUUGUUGGUAAGUAUAAGUGUUUUGACCAGGACUGACAACAAACAAAAUAUAAAUAAUUGGAUUAAUGAUUAGCUUAAUCCUGUUAAACAACGUCAUUCAAGAUAAUGUACAACAUAUGAUGCAUUUUUCAAGUACUGAGUUUAAAUUUAUACGAAAUGUUGAUCUAUCUGUAACACUGUUGUAUAUCCUAUAUGAAAAUCAAAGAUGGGAUACAGUUUUUUCCUAGAAGACAAUAGUGUGCUAACAAUAUUACUACACUACUGAAUUAAUUUCUUAAAAAAAUGCUGGCGAAAGUCUGAAUCUUGAUUGUGACAAUAAUUAAGUGCGAAAAUCAUUCAGAUAAAUUUUGAAUGAAGUGUUUUUUUUAGUGUAUUAAAAAAUCUCUUUCCCUCCCUCUCCCCCCUCCUCCUGCCUCAACUUGUCCUCUGACCUGGGCGAAAAUCCCUACCAACUCUGAAGUGUAAGUUCACGCUUACAGUCAGGUCCAUAAAUAUUGGGACAUCAACAUAAUACUCAUCUCUUUGGCUGUAAACACCACCACAGUUGACUUUAAAUGAAAUAAACAAGAUGUGCUUUGACUGCAGACAUUCAGCUUUAAUAUAUGGUUAUUUACAUCCACAUUAGGUGAAAAGUGUAGGAAUUAAAACAGUUUCUAUAUGUGCCUCUCACUUUUUAAGGGACCAAAAGUAUUGGGACAAACCAAAAAUCAUACAUCAAACUUUCACUUUUCAAUAUAUGGUUGCAAAUCCUUUGCUGUCCAGGACGCAUAGAUACACCGGACGCAUAGAUACACCAGACGCUGGGUUUCACCCCUAGUGUUGCUCUGCCAGGCCUCGACUGCAACUGUCUUCAGUUCCUGCUUGUUCUUGGUGCAUUUUCUCUUCAGUUUUAUCUUCAGCAAGUGAAAGGCAUGCUCAAACGGAUUCAGGUCAGGUGAUUGACUUGGCCAUUUCAUAACAUUCCACUUCUUUGCCCUACACCGUGCACCUGAUUUGGAUGUAAAUACCCUUAAAUUAAAGCUGAAUGUCUGCAGUCAAAGCACACCAUGUUUGUUUCAGUUCAAAUCCAAUGUGGUGGUGUUUACAGCCAGAGAGAUGAGAAUUGUGUUGACGUCCCAAUAUUUAUGGACCUCAUGGUAUAUAUAUAUAUAUACUUACUGGGCAAUCACUUAAAUGUUACAUUUUUGCUCUGCAGUUUAUAAUUAUAUUUCACUGUUUUGUAUUUCACCUCAAUGACUUGCAUAAGAAAGUAAAAAGUGAAGAGGUCCUUCAUUGUGUUUGUGCAUUUUCUCUCCAUUGUAACAAACAUUUUUUACAGGCCAAGGGAGCUGCAGUAACAUCCUUUUACUAAUCAAAUGCCACAAAUUGUAGACUUUGAUAAGAAAUGAGAAAAGUAAUGAUACACAGUGAAAAGUUGUGAUUGCAGUAAACUAUAAGAUGCUGAUUUUUUUUGCAACUAAAUUUAUUUAUUUUUUGUCCCUGUCUUUUCUCUCCUGAACUCGAUGCUAUCUCUACUGCUGGCCCUAUUUACUGUUGGCGACUCAGCUGUAAGUUCACAAAUAAAGUAACUUAAAAAUGUUUACACUGUUACUUUUUUAAACAUAUCAUGUAAAAACCUGACAUUAUGUUCUUAUUUGACAAACUGCAACACAUUUUCAUUGUAACACAAACAAUUUUAAAUAACAAUUAAUUUUGCCGGCUGAUUACGGUUGAAACUGCAAUGCAGUGAGAUGUGCUGGUUUUCUACAAUUAAACUAAAACUCUCUUAUCUCAAUUUUUCCAUUUUCCUUUUUGCCAACUCUGUCCUGUCCAAGUGCAGACCGCUCUGUGGCGACUCGACGUAAGUUCACACAGGAAUGACACUUUCAGGAAUAAGACAGUGUGCUAUGAUUCACAUAUGAAGUUCUUCGUAUUCUAAAGUUUUAAUUAACUCUUAUGAACACUUUGGAUUUUUAGUCCUUAUGAACUUGAUUGAGGGGUUAUCGAACAAGACAAUGGUCACUUCCAGCUUUUGACUCAACUUGACUUUUGAUAGAUGCAUAGUUGAGGGCAGCCACUUGGUGGGUUGAGUAAAAGCACAUUAUAAUGUGAUAAGCUUUGGGUGGAUGUUGGUUCAUUUAAUUUUAUUUCUUUAAUAAAAGAUUAAUGUUUUUUUCCAUUGUGUCUUACAGGUAUCCUGUCCAGUCUCCCCAGUCUCCCCACUCUCCCCUAUCAUUUUGGUCGCUCUGUCUUUCCUGUCUCCUCUACCGCUCUGUCUGAUUGAAAAGCCACUCUGUCUUUCUAUCCCCCUUCUAUCCCACUCUGGCUACUGAUACAAUCCUUGAAUAAAUCUUUGAUACCAUUGAAACAAAUCUUUGAUACCAUUGAAACAAAUCUUUGAUGCCAUUGAAACAAAUCUUUGAUACCAUUGAAACAAAUCAUUGAGGCCUAUUGUAACAAAUCAUUGAGACCUAUUGUAACAAAUCAUUGAGGCCUAUUGUAACAAAUCAUUGAGACCUAUUUUAACAAAUCAUUGAGGCCUAUUGUAACAAAUCAUUGAGACCUAUUGUAGCAAAUCAAAAUUUUUUGAGAAACCUUUUUAUAAAAUCUACCUUUUUUUGAGAAACCAAACUUUUGAAAAGCUGUACAUUUAAUACAACCACUGUUUUGAAAAAAAAUCCCUAAUUUUGCACAAGUCUGAUUGUUGUUCUAGGUUUUCCUUUCCUGUCUGUGGAUCCAGAGUUUCACCAGAAGUGUCAUCAGCACCACCACAUCUGCGUCCCUGAUUUUGAAAGAAAAAAAUAAACACUUUUCAUAUAGAAUAUUUGAGUUACAUAUUAUUUCAAGUACAAAGUUCUAAGAUUUACAAAAUUGUUGAUUUGUGUUUUUUCUGAAAACAUUUAUAUAGUCUUGUCAAGGAUUUUCUUUUAAAACAUUUGAUAAACUAUUGUGGUAUACACACAGUUUUAUAUUAGAUAUUUUGGAGACUAUAAGAGCUGUUAAAUAACGUCCUCUCUUUAAGAAAUAAAGCGUUUUGUCUAUACUGGUGCUUAUCAUUAACUUUAAAUUAUUGAAUAAACACAUUGUUGUGAAAGGACAGCUACAAUGCCGAGGAAGAGUAAGAGGUCACAGGUUGCAAGUCAGCGCUGGCAGAGGUUUCAUGACAUUGACCAUGUGAGUACUGGACAAGCAGAUGGUAUUCCUCAGAGCAGUGGAGAGGUAAAGGGGUCUGAAGUAUCUGAUGCUGUGAAACAGGGAGGUCAAAGUGCGUCAUGUCAACCACAGGUAUCUCAUGCAGACAAGCUUAAGAGGAGACGUUUAAGUGAGUCACCUGCAGCAGGUCCGUCUAACUCUGAACAGGUAAACCACAGAGGUGAAACUAAUGAUCCAGGUGUACAACAGGUAACAUAUGCAGACAUGUUGAAGAGAAAACUUCCUAGUGUAUCAUGCACUCCCAGUCCAUCCAACUCUGUUCAUAUAAACCGCAUAACCCAAACUGACAAGCCAUUUUCAACCCAGGUACCAUAUACAGACACUGUUAAAAAGGGAAACCACAGUAAUUAUAAGUCUGUAUCAGGCUCUUCUCAGGUAAGAAAUGUGAACGCUGUUAGUCAGUCAGGUGAACUAAGUGUCUGUGCGUCACGCAGCCAAGCGUCUCUGAAAUAUGGCCAAUCCAGAAACCAGCAGUGCACCUGUAACUCACUGACAUUUCUAGCAUUCCUGUAUGAGAGCGAACACAUCACCAGAGCAGACCUGGACCGUGUUUUGGAUAAAGGUGAUGUGAUGUACAGAGAAGUCAGAAAAACUGUUGAUCACGCCCAUCUGACAACCGAUGAGCUCCCUAACCAGGUUCCUGCACGCAGACACAUGCAGACUGUUGACAUGUUACAGCUGUCUAGAUACGGUACGUUUGGAGAUCCGGAUCCCGGAGCUGUUGAUACCUUUCUGGACCUCGUUUCAGGACUGAGCUGCUUAUUAACAGAUGUGCAGUACGCUUUGCUGCUAAUGACUUCGUUGUGCAUUGCAGUUUUCAGAACCAGAGAUGGCAGGUACGGUUUCUUUGACCCACAUGCUAGGACAGCUAACGGUUUGCCUCUGCUUAAGGCCACACCUUAUCCUGGUACUGCUGUCAUGGUAACAUUCACACGCCUCAGUGACAUGAUUGCCAGGCUCAUCAGGUAUCACCACAUAUUGGGCACAGCAGCGUCCUGUCGCUAUGAGCUUAAGCCAGUUGUGUUUCAUGAUGUGAACCCAAAUGAUGCUUUCCCUGCCACAGAAAGUCCGUCUGCUCUACAGAUGAACACCGAUGUCCAUGGAAACACUGAAUGUGACAUGGAAACUGAACCAGAGCCACUGAUCGACUUCAGCCAGUGUUCUGUCACAUCAGCUGGACCUGACUCUCUUGCUCCAGAGAUGAACACUACUGUAAGUGAUGACUCUCAUGACACAUCACAGAAUGUCUCAACCCUGACGGAAAAACAAGCUCAUCAACAAGGUCAGAUCAGCAAUAAUUCUGUCACAUUAAAAGAAACUCAGGAGAUUCAAUCAAAUUUGACUCAGCCAUUAAUAAAUAUCCCUGUUGCCAGUGACAAUGUCCUUCAUGACAUCUCCAUUAAGCUGUCAAAAGUGAACAAAGCACAAAGGAAAAAAUAUAAGAGGAGACUAAUGGCCUCUGAAAAGACAUCACAAGGGAAAGAGGAUAAAAAAAUGAAAGAGAGAAAAAAGUAUGCUAAGGAUGAAACAUACAAAGCAAAGAAAAAGUCUUAUUCAAGUGAGAAAUAUUCUGUCAAUCCUGAAAUACAGACGAAGAAAAGACAAAAAAUCACAACUAAAUACAGGGAAAGCACAGACUUCAGACUGAAGCAAAAAUUAUAUAUAACAAGAAAAUACAGAGAAAAUGUUGAUUUUAAAGGCAGACAAAAAGAAUAUAUCAGGAGAAAAUACUCAGAGGACGUUAAUUUCAGGCAAAGACAGCGAUUAUGUGUCAAUUAUCGAUAUGCAAACGAUGAAAUAUUCCAUCACCGACACAGACAACUGAUGAGACAAAUUAUGCGAGACAGGUAUAAGACAAAUCUUGCAUACAGGACUAUCCAUAAAAUGAGGUGUGCAUUGAAAAUAUCAAAGAAAUACAAACAGAUAAGUAGACAAACAUGUGAGACUGACAGAGAGAGUGAAAACCCACUUAUUGAAAGUGCCAUAAAUGAUUUCCGAUCACACAUUAAAGCGGGUCCCACCCAUGUUUGCACAGUUUGCCACAAAGCCUCAUUUCCAAACCAGGUGCAAAAGUGCAAGAGGUCCAACUAUGUGAAAAAUCCAAUCAUGGUUUCAGCUUGUCUCAAAGGUCAGUACGUCCAUGAUUGUAACGAUGACUGCAGAAAUCACUGCACUGUCCCUGAUGAGAGAAAGACUGAGUGGAUUUGUCACACCUGCCAUGACCAUCUGAAAAAUGGAUCCAUGCCCAAACUUGCCAUAGCAAACAACUUGGAGCUUGCUGACAUACCACCUGAGCUGUGUGACCUCAACAUACUGGAGAGACAUCUGAUAGCAAAGUGCAUAACAUUUGCCAAAAUCAUUCCUCUUCCCAAAGGCAGACAGCGAGCUAUACAUGGUAAUGUUGUAUGUGUUCCCUCUGAAGUCCAGGAAACAAUUCAGGCUCUACCCAGAUUGAGAAAUGAAUCUCAGGUGAUGAGAGUAAAACUGAAGAGACGUUUGAGUUACAGAGGUCACCAUCUGUUUCAGACUGUUACCUGGUCCAAGCUAGUGCAGGCUCUGCAUAAACUGAAAGAGACACACCCCCAGUAUGAAGACAUCACUAUUAGAGAUGAGGAGGAGUUAUGUGACCCCACACUUCCUGAUGAUGGUGAUGAGGAUGAGGAUGAUGAUGAUAACACAAUGAAUGAUGACGACUAUGAUGAUGAGGAUUUGAUGGAAAUUGAUAGAAUUGAGGCUGCUGCCAUGCAUGACGCUGAAACUAAUGUUGAAAAUGAGGAUGAAAACACAGAGCUGUGUGAUAAAAGUCAGACCCAGGACAAUGAUGAUCAGACACAACAACGGGAUGCAGACAAAUCUAAUGGUGGUGUUGUUUUGGAGUCGUGCCUUCAGCCACGGGAUGUUUCUGAGGAGAUAUUGUGUUUCAGUGACUCUACAUACUCAGUAGCUCCAGCAGAGAGAAACAAUCCAGUCAGUUUUUUCAAAACACCCAAACUAGAGGCCAUGGCGUUUCCUGUUCAGUUUCCCACUGGUGAGAAUACACUGGAUGAAAACAGACCAAUGAAACUAUCACCCAGUAGUUAUUUUAAAGCAAGGCUCUUUGGUGUUGAUGAUCGCUUUGCCAAAGAUACCAACUACCUGUUCUUUGCACAGUUUGUGACUG